AUCGCUUCUCAGCCUUUUGGCUAAGAUCAAGUGUAGUAAAGUACCUGGCAUAACCUGGAAAUAUUUUCAUUUCAUUAAACACUUU
rnacentral:snRNA from 1 species